UGUGUGUGUGUGUGUGUGUGUGUGUGUGUGUGUGUGACUCCCAAGAAGUUCCUCCCACAGCCUACCUGAGUAGUCAUAGUUGGUACAAAGCAUUUCUAGAAACAUCUUUUUUUUCCUUCACUCUUAAAUUUCUUGGAAAACUCAUUUAUGUUGUGGUUAUCUAGAAGUGGAUUUUGGUCCUGUUUCUUGGGGAGAAAUUCAGCAGAAUAGGCCUGUGGACUAUUGUAGCAUGUUAUCUUAAGAAUUUGGGCAAUUGAGCCCGGUGUUGAGUACAGUGUCCCCAAAACACCAUCUUCUUUGUAUGUUUGGGAAGAGUGCCAAAAUAAAGACAGUUCUGUGCUGUGCUGCCAAGAGUGCUUAAGUAGAUCUGCGGUUGGGCCCAGGGGUUUAUAAGUAAUCAAAGUAUAUCACUCUUUCUUGUAAAGCCAAUAGAAAUGUCUAAUUUUAAUUUUAAUAAGGUUUUUGACAAAUCAAAAAUGGUAUCUCCUAGAUGACUUGGUCAACAUGUUAAGGUAGUUAGGCAAUUUUUUAAAAAUCUUAAAUGGGUUUAAAUAAGCAAGUUAAGCAGCUCCUAUUAUGAGACUUAUGGUAAGUUCAUUCUGAGGAUACAAAAAGUUAAUCAGACAAGAUUAUGUGCAAGAAACUGGGGCUGUAAGAGGUAUCAGUAGUUUGAGGAGAUGACAAGUACUUCAUGAGAUGUGAAGAAAAUAAGUGUUGGAGGGUUAGCUGCUGAAAGGACAUUGUUAAUGGUGCUUUACUGUCUUGAUUUGAGGUCUGCUGCCAACUAAUACAUAUCAGUUUCUUUCCUGGAGAUUGAAUAAUACAUUAGUAAAUAUUUAGGUUAGAUGCAUUUUAGGACUCUUAACUGUGAAUAAUGGAAAUAUGUCAGAGUUAGUACAUGCCCUAUUAGAAAAUAUCAUGCCUCUAUUUUAGUACUAAAAUAAAUCCUGUUUCUAAAUAGGAG